UGUUGUUUGGUGAUGAUGUGAGCCCAAGACCCAGGCCCAAGCUUGCUGAAUCCAAGAGUGAAAAAACAAAUUCCCAGCAUUGCGGUGUGUGGAGAGAAAAUAAUGGGCCCACGUGUGUAACGGCCCAAUGAAACCGGUUUAGUCGAAGCCUAGCUCUAGCGGCCCAAAUGACUCAAAUUUCCUUGUGCUUACCCAAAGAAAUUCCCAAGAUGCAGCCUAAAACACGAAGCUUGUGGGGAAAAAAUGGAAAACGUUUCACCCGUCGAAAACACUUCUGCAAGCUCUAAACCUGAUCGUAAUCUUUAUCCAAUUCGGCUCGUGUCUCGAUAUCAUCAUCGCCGCAAUUUUGAAAUGGGAGUGCGUCCAUGGACUUGGCUUCUCCGUGUUAUCGUAAGAGAUCGCUUUCAUCGGUAGCAUCGCGCUUCAGACAGCGUCGCGCAUCUCCGGCGCCGUGUCUACGUUUCAACUCAGCCUCCAUACGCGGUGGAUCGUUCAUCGACGAAUGAUAAUGCUCACGACUUUGCGCUUAGCCCCACCGUAUGGUUGGAUUCUCAACUCAAAUCAGUUUACGUGUGCCGAUACGGCGAACUACGAAUCCAAGAGAAUGAAGGAAAACUCACCAGAUUAUUUCCGAUUUGAACCUGUACAUACUCCUAUUCUCUGAUUCAGAUCCGUUCUGUCUUCUCUUCUACGACAAAUUCGAGUCCUACGCGUGGAGUUCCAAUUUGGAAGCUGAACACUAAUCCUUGUGAAUGCCGCAUCCAAGAUGUAGACUCUGUCGCGAGCGAGAGUGGGGAAUUCAAAAGGUGCGGAUUGAACGUCUUUGACGACGAAGAUUUUGCAGGAGGGGUGGAAAACCAGUUGCAGAGUUGAAGAAAUAUGAUGCAGAACCAAGGGAUUUUGCAGAAAAUCGAGGGAGCAGGUUCAAGAAGGUUUGAUGCAGAAGGAGCAGUUAUGUUGUAAAAACGGGGAAUAUUGAUGGUGAAGAUGAAGAAGAUGAAGAAUGAAAGAAAAUUUGGAGGAGCUUCUCAUGGCAUUGUUAUAUAUAUGGUAGUUUUCAACCGAAUCGGGCAACGGUUCGGGCAGGUUAGUUAUGUUAGGGCAGGGUUAGUUAGCUCUUUCAUAGUUGGUUGAAGUUAUGGUUAAGUUAGUUGUAAACAGGGUUAGGGUUAAUUGUUACAAGUUAGCUUAAUUGGUUAGAAUUUUUGUUAGAAAUUCAGUUGGAAAUUCUAUUUGCAGAUUUUUCCAAUUAGUUUAGUUUGUGAUUCUCUGUGGUGCAUUCUGUUAAUUACCGUGGUCUUAAAACCAAUUGCAGGUACUUAGCAGUAUCAAUGAUAGUUAUGAGGUAUUUUCAACUCUGUUCGUUCUGAAUCACAGGGUUGGUCAUUAAAAAUAUUAGCUAUGGUUUUUGUUAAUCGGAA